GGGGUCGUAGCGCAGAAGUCGUCGCGCCGCACGUCAAUGCGGAGGACGCCGGUGCGAGUCCGGCCGGCCCCG
rnacentral:tRNA from 1 species